GAUGAAGAACGCAGCGAAAUGCGAUAAGUAAUGCGAAUUGCAGAAUUCAGUGAAUCAUCGAAUCUUUGAACGCACCUUGCGCCCUUUGGCCAUUCCGAAGGGCAUGCCUGUUUGAGUAUCAUGAACACCUCAACUCUCAUGGCUUGCCAUGAUGAGCUUGGACUUUGGGGGUCUUGCUGGCCUGCGGUCAGCUCCUCUCAAAUGAAUUAGCUUUCCAGUGUUUGGUUGGCAUCACAGGUGUGAUAACUAUCUACGCUUGUGGUUUCCACCAGGUAACCUUCAGUAACAUGGGGGUUUGCUGGAGCUCAUAAAUGUCUCUCCUCAGUGGGGACAGCUCUUUGAACAUUUGAUCUCAAAUCAGGUAGGACUACCCGCUGAACUUAAGCAUAUCAAUAAGCGGAGGA
rnacentral:misc_RNA from 1 species